rnacentral:rRNA from 1 species
GACGAACGCUGGCGGCGUGCUUAACACAUGCAAGUCGAACGGAAAGGCCCUGCGCUUGUGGGGUGCUCGAUUGGCGAACGGGUGAGUAACACGUGUGUAACCUGCCCUUGACUUUGGGAUAACUUUAGGAAACUGGGGCUAAUACCGGAUAGGAGCUCCUGCUGCAUGGGGGGGGAUGGAAAGUUUCGGCGGUUGGGGAUGGACUCGCAGCUUAUCAGCUUGUUGGUGGGGUAGUGGCUUACCAAGGCUUUGACGGGUAGCCGGCCUGAGAGGGUGGCCGGCCACAUUGGGACUGAGAGACGGCCCAGACUCCUACGGGAGGCAGCAGUGGGGAGUAUUGCACAAUGGGCGGAAGCCUGAUGCAGCAACGCCGCGUGCGGGAUGACGGCCUUCGGGUUGUAAACCGCUUUCGCCUGUGACGAAGCGUGAGUGACGGUAAUGGGUAAAGAAGCACCGGCUAACUACGUG